AUGAAAAACAGGAAGGAAAAGAGAAAGGAAAAGAGGAGAGAGGAAAAAAAAGAGGGAGGAAAAGGGAAGGAAAAGGGGAGGGAAGAAAGAAGGGAGGAAGAGGAGGGAGGAAAAGAGGAGGGAGAAGAAGGAAGAAGAAGAGGAAGGAAUAGUGGAGGGAGGAAAAGGAGGAAGGAAAAGGGGAGAGAGGAAGAGCAGAGAGAGGAAGAGGAGGAAGGAAAAGAGGAGGAAAUCAAAAGGAAAAGAGGAGGGAGGAAGAGGAGGGAGGAAGAGGAGGGAGGAAGAGGAGGGAGGAAGAGGAGGGAGGAAGAGGAGGGAGGAAGAGGAGGGAGGAAGAGGAGGGAGGAAGAGGAGGGAGGAAGAGGAGGGAGGAAGAGGAGGGAGGAAGAGGAGGGAGGAAGAGGAGGGAGGAAGAGGAGGGAGGAAGAGGAGGGAGGAAGAGGAGGGAGGAAGAGGAGGGAGGAAGAGGAGGGAGGAAGAGGAGGGAGGAAGAGGAGGGAGGAAGAGGAGGGAGGAAGAGGAGGGAGGAAGAGGAGGGAGGAAGAGGAGGGAGGAAGAGGAGGGAGGAAAAGAGGAGGGAGGAAGAGGAAGAAGGAAAAACAGAGAGAGGAAAAGGAGGGAGGAAAAGAGGAGGGAGGAAAAGGGAAGGAAAGAGAGAAUGGAGGAAAAGAGGAAGAAGAAAAAGAGGAGGGAGGAAGAGGAGGGAGGCAGAGAGGAGGAAGAGAAGGGAGGAAAAGGGGAGGGAGGAAGAGGAGGGAGGAAAAGGGAAGGAAAAGAGGAAGGAGGAGAAGGGGGAGGAAAAGAGGAAAGAGGAAAAAGAGGAAGGAAAAGAGGAGGAAGGAAAAGUGGAGGGAGGAAGAGGAGGAAGAAAAAGCGGAGAGAGGGAAAGGAGGGAGGAAAAGGGAAGGAAAAGUGGAGGAAGGAAGAGGAGGAAGGCAGAGAGGAAGGAGGAAAAGCAGAGAGAGGAAAAGGGGAGGGAGGAAGAGGGGGAGGGAGGAAAAAGAGGAAGGAAGAGGAGGGAGAAAGAGGGGAGGGAGGAAAAGAAGAGGGAGGAAAAGAAGGAAGGAAAGAGAGAAUGGAGGAAAAGAGGAAGAAGGAGAAGAGGGAGGAAAAGAGGAAGAAGGAAAAGAGGAGGAAGGCAGGAGGGAGGAAGAGGAGGAAGGAAAAGAGGAGGGAGGAAAAGCAGAGAGAGGAAAAGGGGAGGGAGGAAGAGGGGGAGGGAGGAAAAAGAGGAAGGAAGAGGAGGGAGAAAGAGGGGAGGGAGGAAAAGAAGAGGGAGGAAAAGAAGGAAGGAAAGAGAGAAUGGAGGAAAAGAGGAAGAAGGAGAAGAGGGAGGAAAAGAGGAAGAAGGAAAAGAGGAGGAAGGCAGGAGGGAGGAAGAGGAGGAAGGAAAAGAGGAGGGAGGAAAAGCAGAGAGAGGAAGAGGAGGGAGGAAAAGAGGAGGAAAUCAAAAGGUAA
rnacentral:lncRNA from 1 species